CAUCAAGCGUCAUGUUGUCAAGCAGCCGGAGGUGUCAGACUGAAGGUGAAACCCGCUUGUGCCGCCUAGUGGAGCGGAGGCAAAGCUGCACUUUAGGUUCUGUCAAUCUGAUUUCCUGAGAAAUUGUUGAUUUAAACAAAAAAAAAAAUAUAUAUAUAUAUAUUUUAACAAGAACAGAACAGAACAAAUUCCUCUUCAAGUUCAUUAGAUUCAGUUUGCAGCGGUGUAAUUCACAAAAAUCACCACAGGAGGGCCUGCUUUAGGUCCUCUGACUUUUUUUUUUUUGCUUACCAGUUUAUUUUAGUAGAAGAGGACAGAACAAAAUCAUAUACAAACAUUGACCUAAAAUAGCAAUGCACAAAAAAAAACACAGGAGGGCGUUCAUUAGACUCGGUUCAGAGCAGACUCAUAAGACAUGCUGUGGUGAUUUUUGUGAAUUACAAACGAGUCUAAUGAUCCUAAACUGGUGUCGCCCUCCUGUGGUGAUUUUUGUGAAUUACAAUCGAGUCUAAUGAAUUUAAACUGGUUUCGCCCUCGUGUGGUGAUUUUUGUGAAUUACAAUCGAGUCUAAUGAUCUUAAACUGGUUUCGCCCUCGUGUGGUGAUUUUUGUGAAUUACAAUCAAGUCUAAUGAUCUUAAACUGGUUUCGCCCUCCUGUGGUGAUUUUUGUGAAUUACAAUCGAGUCUAAUGAUCUUAAACUGGUUUCGCCCUCGUGUGGUCAUUCAGCUCCACAGACUCAGUGGUUCAGUUGAUAAAGCUUUGUGUUUUACUCCGGGAGAUCUGAGUUCAAAUCCCACUACUGCUUACUUUAAAUUGAUCUCAGACAACAAAGUCACUCAAACGCCAAAAAACAACAAGGAAUCCAUGAUGGGUAAGUGGAUAAACACACAUUCUCUGAGGGUGAACUUGCGAUGGAGACAUGGGUUCAAAACCCACCUCCAAAAAUCACAAACCCAGUUUACUUUAACUUCUUUAUUGGGAAAUCACAGGUAAACAGUCAAAUAUAAGUUCCUUCUGGUGGUUCAACAAGAGACCUGUGGCUCACAGAGUCAUGUUGUCAAGCAUCCGAAGCUGUCAAACUAAACUGAAGCCCGAUGAUGCCGCUUGGUGGAGCGGAUGAAAAACUGCACUUCUGUUCUUACCUUAAAAGCCAUAU
ensembl:lncRNA